rnacentral:lncRNA from 1 species
UAAAGUUCCAACAGCAUGUUGUUUAGCGAUCGUAAAACUAUUUGACUUCUGAUUGCAUCUGCUGCAUCAGGUACCAGACUCCUCUACUGUGCUGCUUCAGGUACCAGACUCCUCUACUGGGCUGCUUCAGGUACCAGACUCCUCUACUGUGCUGCAUCAGGUACCAGACUCCUCUACUGUGCUGCAUCAGGUACCAGACUCCUCUACUGGGCUGCUUCAGGUACCAGACUCCUCUACUGGGCUGCAUCAGGUACCAGACUCCUCUACUGUGCUGCAUCAGGUACCAGACUCCUCUACUGUGCUGCAUCAGGUACCAGACUCCUCUACUGUGCUGCAUCAGGUACCAGACUCCUCUACUGUGCUGCAUCAGGUACCAGACUCCUCUACUGUGCUGCUUCAGGUACCAGACUCCUCUACUGUGCUGCAUCAGGUACCAGACUCCUCUACUGGGCUGCUUCAGGUACCAGACUCCUCUACUGUGCUGCAUCAGGUACCAGACUCCUCUACUGUGCUGCUUCAGGUACCAGACUCCUCUACUGGGCUGCAUCAGGUACCAGACUCCUCUACUGUGCUGCUUCAGGUACCAGACUCCUCUACUGGGCUGCAUCAGGUACCAGACUCCUCUACUGGGCUGCUUCAGGUACCAGACUCCUCUACUGGGCUGCAUCAGGUACCAGACUCCUCUACUUUGCUGCAUCAGGUACCAGACUCCUCUACUGGGCUGCUUCAGGUACCAGACUCCUCUACUGUGCUGCAUCAGGUACCAGACUCCUCUACUGUGCUGCUUCAGGUACCAGACUCCUCUACUGUGCUGCUUCAGGUACCAGACUCCUCUACGUUGCUGCUUCAGGUACCAGACUCCUCUAUGUUGCUACUUCAGGUACCAGACUCCUCUACUGUGCUGCAUCAGGUACCAGACUCCUCUACUGUGCUGCUUCUGGUACCAGACUCCUCUACUGUGCUGCAUCAGGUACCAGACUCCUCUACUGGGCUGCUUCAGGUACCAGACUCCUCUACUGUGCUGCAUCAGGUACCAGACUCCUCUACUGUGCUGCUUCAGGUACCAGACUCCUCUACUGUGCUGCUUCAGGUACCAGACUCCUCUACUGUGCUGCUUCAGGUACCAGACUCCUCUAUGUUGCUACUUCAGGUACCAGACUCCUGUACUUUGCUGCUUCAGGUACCAGACUCCUCUACUGGGCUGCUUCAGGUACCAAACUCUUCUACUGUGCUGCUUCAGGUACCAGACUCCUCUACUUUGCUGCUUCAGGUACCAGACUCCUCUACUGUGCUGCUUCAGGUACCAGACUCCUCUACGUUGCUGCUUCAGGUACCAGACUCCUCUAUGUUGCUACUUCAGGUACCAGACUCCUGUACUUUGCUGCUUCAGGUACCAGACUCCUCUACUGGGCUGCUUCAGGUACCAGACUCCUCUACUGUGCUGCUUCAGGUACCAAACUCUUCUACUGUGCUGCUUCAGGUACCAGACUCCUCUACUUUGCUGCUUCAGGUACCAGACUCCUCUACUGUGCUGCUUCAGGUACCAGACUCCUCUACUGUGCUGCUUCAGGUACCAGACUCCUCUACGUUGCUGCUUCAGGUACCAGACUCCUCUACUUUGCUGAUUCAGGCACCUGAUUCCUCUCCGUUGAAGUAUCUGGGCUGACUAAAUCCACCUGCUGUCUACUACCUACUGUCAACUGGAGGACAACACCUCUAUUAAAUAGUGAUUAGAAACCAACAGAAAAUAUUUCACUAUCUGACACGAAGGAGUCGCGUGACAACAGAAUAAUCCCUGUGAGGUCCUGAAGGCCAUGUCUACAGUCUCUGUGUCGUCUCUGUACUCACCCACAGCAGAAUGGAAAGCCUGACUGCCUCCGCAAAGGAACGCCAUGUCAGAGUCAGACUGUCCCUAGAGUCCGGCAGGAUGAAACGACACAAAC